AAGAUGCCAAUGUUGCUCAUUGAUUUAAAUAGAGAAUUGAAAUCAUUGGAAGGGAGAUCAGAAAAGAAGGCCUCGAAUUCAAGCUCAAAACCACUGGUUAAUUGCUAUCUCAAGGCGUCCACAACCAUAUCUAUUUUUGCUAAAGUAUUGUACCUAGUUGCACAACCAGGUUGGCUAUUCUUAAAGACUUGGCUUCCUCCUUGUUAAUGAAGAAAACUUUCAUGAAUUGAAUAACUGUUAAAAGCAAAUGUCUACAUAAGCUGAUUGCAGAUGCA
rnacentral:misc_RNA from 1 species